GACGAACGCUGGCGGCGUGCUUAACACAUGCAAGUCGAACGGAAAGGCCCCUUUGGGGGUACUCGAGUGGCGAACGGGUGAGUAACACGUGAGUAACCUGCCCUUGACUUCGGGAUAACUUCAGGAAACUGGGGCUAAUACCGGAUAGGAAUCCUUGCUGCAUGGUGGGGGUUGGAAAGCUUCGGCGGUUUUGGAUGGACUCGCGGCUUAUCAGCUUGUUGGUGGGGUAGUGGCUUACCAAGGCUUUGACGGGUAGCCGGCCUGAGAGGGCGACCGGCCACAUUGGGACUGAGAUACGGCCCAGACUCCUACGGGAGGCAGCGGUGGGGAAUAUUGCACAAUGGGCGGAAGCCUGAUGCAGCAACGCCGCGUGCGGGAUGACGGCCUUCGGGUUGUAAACCGCUUUCAGCAGGGGCGAAGCUUGCGGUGACGGUACCUGCAGAAGAAGCACCGGCUAACUACGUG
rnacentral:rRNA from 1 species